UUGGAGGGCAAGUCUGGUGCCAGCAGCCGCGGUAAUUCCAGCUCCAAUAGCGUAUAUUAAAGUUGUUGCAGUUAAAAAGCUCGUAGUUGAAUUUCGGGAUCAAUAUGUCGGUCGUGCCUCCGGUACGUACUGGCGUCAUUGGUUUCUCCCUUCUGAUGAACCACGAUGUCAUUAAUUUGGUGUCAUGGGGAAUCAGGACUGUUACUUUGAAAAAAUUAGAGUGUUUAAAGCAGGCUCACGCUUGAAUACAUUAGCAUGGAAUAAUGAAAUAGGACGUUUGAUUCUAUUUUGUUGGUUUCUAGGAUCGACGUAAUGAUUAAUAGGGAUAGUUGGGGGCAUUAGUAUUCAAUUGUCAGAGGUGAAAUUCUUGGAUUUAUUGAAGACUAACUACUGCGAAAGCAUUUGCCAAGGAUGUUUUCAUUAAUCAAGAACGAAAGUUAGGGGAUCGAAGACGAUCAGAUACCGUCGUAGUCUUAACCAUAAACUAUGCCGACUAGGGAUCGGAUGAUGUUAAUUUUUUAAUGACUCAUUCGGCGCCUUACGGGAAAC
rnacentral:rRNA from 1 species